GAUGAACGCUGGCGGCGUGCCUAAUACAUGCAAGUCGAGCGAACAGACGAGGAGCUUGCUCCUCUGACGUUAGCGGCGGACGGGUGAAUAACACGUGUAUAACCUACCUAUAAGACUGGGAUAACUUCGGGAAACCGGAUCAAAUCCCGGAUAAUAUCUUGAACCGCAUGGUUGAAUGGUAAGAGACGGCUUUGCUGGAACUACUAGAUGGAUCCGCGCCGCAUUAGCUAGUUGGUGAGGUAACGGCCUACCAAGGCGAGGAUGCGUAGCCGACCUGAGAGGCUGAUCGGCGACACUGGAACUGAGACGCGGUCCAGGCUCCUACGGGAGGCGGCAGUCGGGAAUCGUACGCAAUGGGCGAAAGCUUGGCGGAGCAACGCGGCGUGAGUGAUGAAGGUGUUCGGAUCGUAAAGCUCUGUUAUUAGGGAAGAACAAAUGUGUAAGUAACUAUGCACGUCUUGACGGUACCUAAUCAGAAAGCCACGGCUAACUACGUG
rnacentral:rRNA from 1 species